CAUUCUUAUUUGUUUGGUAGGCAUGUAUUCACCAACUUUAUUUUUAGCCUGUUGUCCAUGUUUUUGUCUUUGUCCAGACUUGUGCACAUAUGCCAAAUAAUACAAUGGGAAGUUUGUGGUUUCCUGCGGUUAUCCUGGGGCUCUUAUACACUAUGGUUGUGCAGAUAACUGAAGAAGCGAUACAGAUGGGCAUGUUUCCUGAAGCUGCUGAUUACUCGUUCCAGAAUUGUCGGAAAGAAAUGCUGCAAAUGGUCACAAAAAGUGGAGCUUGCCUGAAGAAUCUAAAGAAUCAUCUUCAAGUUUCCUGAGUUCCAGUUUACUGAAUCUUAUGGCUUCCUUACUCAUGCUGUAUACUACAAACUGACUCUGUAGUAUACUCUGUAUGUUCACAAAAAUGCAAAGUAAAAGUUACUUGAAUGUUAUAUGCAUACAUUCAGUGUUCUUGACUUAUCAGGAAGAAUUUAUCACUACAAUAAAUUACUUUGUUUUUAUUUUCUUCAUUUUCUUUGUUCUCAUUUUAAUAAUCCUUAAGACCACCUAAACCUUAAAAAACCCUAAACUGUAGUGUUCCUUGAGAAUUCCCAAGCAUUACAAAAACGUCCAUACAUUCACUUUUACAUUUUCAUUACGUGUAUUGCAGCAGACACGCUCAAGGUAUGAUAUUACAUGAAGUACCUCAUACCACCAGAGGGCACCAUUGCGAUAGACCUAUAAUUUUUUUUUUUUUAAUGUAAUUUUUGUCAUUUCUGUCGUGUUGCAAAUUCAUAUUUAUAUUAAUGGGAUACGAUUAUACUAAAAUUAAAGGACAUUUCUGUUAAAUGUUUCUUUACUUGGUAUUGUGUUCUGUCAAUGCCUUCAGUUUUACAGUUAUCAGACCUGCACUCGAUCAGAAAAAAAGCUGUCAUUGGGGCAAAGUAUUUGUACUCCUCCCCCCCACCCAUCCCCCCAUUAAACAGAGCUGUUAUAGUGAUUCUUUACUCAGUUUUAUUUUUCUCCCAAGAUUCUUAUGCCAAGGACCCCCA